AGAAUCAACGCUGGCGGCGUGCCUAACACAUGCAAGUCGCACGAGAAAGUGGAGCAAUCCACGAGUAAAGUGGCGCACGGGUGAGUAACACGUGACUAACCUACCCUUGAGUGGGGGAUAACCUAGAGAAAUCUGGGCUAAUACCGCAUAAUACCUUCGGGUCAAAGGAGCAAUUCGCUUAAGGAGGGGUCGCGGCCGAUUAGUUAGUUGGCGGGGUAAUGGCCCACCAAGACUGUGAUCGGUA
rnacentral:rRNA from 1 species